rnacentral:rRNA from 1 species
AUUGAACGCUGGCGGCAUGCUCUACACAUGCAAGUCGAACGGUAACAGGCCGCGAGGUGCUGCCGAGUGGCGGACGGGGGCGUAAUGCAUCGGAACGUGCCCAGUCCUGGGGGAUAACUACUCGUAAGAGUAGCUAAUACCGCAUACGAUCUAUGGCGGACAGCGGGGGAACGUAAGGCCUCGCGCGAUUGGAGCGGCCGAUGUCAGAUUAGGUAGUUGGUGGGGUAAAGGCCCACCAAGCCAACGAUCUGUAGCUGGUCUGAGAGGACGACCAGCCACACUGGGACUGAGACACGGCCCAGACUCCUACGGGAGGCAGCAGUGGGGAAUUUUGGACAAUGGGCGCAAGCCUGAUCCAGCAAUGCCGCGUGCAGGAAGAAGGCCUUCGGGUUGUAAAGUGCUUUUGUACGGAACGAAACGGCUCUGGUUAAUACCCGGGGCUAAUGACGGUACCGUAAGAAUAAGCACCGGCUAACUACGUG